rnacentral:lncRNA from 1 species
AAAUAGAGCAAAACAGAGGUUCAACUUUUUCAUGGAUUUUUCGACGAGCUCGACGGCCGAUGAGGGCGCACCGUGCCGUGAAAAAGAGGGGAAGAAAGAGGGGAAAGAAGACAAGGGCUUACCUCAAGCUUCAGUAGCAUCGUCGACUCCAAUUUUCGAUGAGCACGAGUAUAGGAGGUCGUGGCUUCAAUGAAAGAAAUCAAGGGGAAAGGAGAGGGAGGAA